rnacentral:rRNA from 1 species
GAUGAACGCUGGCGGCGUGCCUAAUACAUGCAAGUCGAGCGAACGGACGAGAAGCUUGCUUCUCUGAUGUUAGCGGCGGACGGGUGAGUAACACGUGGAUAACCUACCUAUAAGACUGGGAUAACUGCGGGAAACCGGAGCUAAUACCGGAUAAUAUUUUGAACCGCAUUGUUCAAAAUUGAAAGACGGUCUUGCUGUCACUUAUAGAUGGAUCCGCGCUGCAUUAGCUAGUUGGUAAGGUAACGGCUUACCAAGGCAACGAUGCAUAGCCGACCUGAGAGGGUGAUCAGCCACACUGGAACUGAGACGCGGUCCAGACUCCUACGGGAGGCAGCAGUAGGGAAUCUUCCGCAAUGGGCGAAAGCCUGACGGAGCAACGCCGCGUGAGUGAUGAAGGUCUUCGGAUCGUAAAACUCUGUUAUUAGGGAAGAACAUAUGUGUAAGUAACUGUGCACAUCUUGACGGUACCUAAUCAGAAAGCCACGGCUAACUACGUG